UGCAACCCAAGCUGUCCGUCAUGUACUGGGCCAUCUGACACACUCAUAAAAUCCCAUUACCAACUGGAAAUGGUUUAUGUGGGACUAGCUCCUAACCAGGCACAUCAUUGCUUCAACUGAUUCAUGAGCAGAAGAGUCUUUGCUGGCAACACAUGAACUGUGAUGGAUUCAAUCACUUAGGCUUUCCAUUAUCAAUGCAGACCUGGCCCCUGGGUGCACAGGGUUAUCAGUGACCACCCCUGAAUGCCGCAACUGACCAGACUCCAGGGACACCAUGGACUACUUAGUUGCAGACUGAUGACUUUGGACCUCUUCCAUUAUGGAAAGGGCAGUGAUUUCUUUUCACUGAAACAGGCUCAUGUCUGACUUUGGAACUGACCUCUCUGCCUGUAGAUCAUCAUGGCAUGCUCUA
rnacentral:lncRNA from 1 species